rnacentral:rRNA from 1 species
UGGGGAAUAUUGCACAAUGGGCGCAAGCCUGAUGCAGCCAUGCCGCGUGUAUGAAGAAGGCCUUCGGGUUGUAAAGUACUUUCAGUCGGGAGGAAGGUGUCAAGGUUAAUAACCUUGGCAAUUGACGUUACCGACAGAAGAAGCACCGGCUAACUCCGUGCCAGCAGCCGCGGUAAUACGGAGGGUGCAAGCGUUAAUCGGAAUUACUGGGCGUAAAGCGCACGCAGGCGGUUGAUUGAGUCAGAUGUGAAAUCCCCGGGCUUAACCCGGGAAUUGCAUCUGAUACUGGUCAGCUAGAGUCUUGUAGAGGGGUGUAGAAUUCCAUGUGUAGCGGUGAAAUGCGUAGAGAUGUGGAGGAAUACCGGUGGCGAAGGCGGCCCCCUGGACAAAGACUGACGCUCAGGUGCGAAAGCGUGGGGAGCAAACAGG